GAUGAACGCUAGCUACAGGCUUAACACAUGCAAGUCGAGGGGCAGCAUGGAGUUUUCUUCGGAAGACUUUGAUGGCGACCGGCGCACGGGUGAGUAACGCGUAUCGAACCUGCCUCAUACUCGGGAAUAGCCUUGCGAAAGUAAGAUUAAUGCCCGAUGUUCUUGGUGUUCCGCAUGAGGCGCCAAGCAAAGAUUCAUCGGUAUGAGAUGGCGAUGCGUCCCAUUAGCUUGUUGGCGGGGUAACGGCCCACCAAGGCAUCGAUGGGUAGGGGUUCUGAGAGGAAGGUCCCCCACAUUGGAACUGAGACACGGUCCAAACUCCUACGGGAGGCAGCAGUGAGGAAUAUUGGUCAAUGGACGGAAGUCUGAACCAGCCAAGUAGCGUGCAGGAAGACGGCCCUCCGGGUUGUAAACUGCUUUUAGUUGGGAAUAAAACGCGGGACGUGUCCCGCCUUGUAUGUACCAUCAGAAAAAGGACCGGCUAAUUCCGUGCCAGCCGCCGCGGUAA
rnacentral:rRNA from 1 species